GUGGGCCUUUCUUCCAUAUUUCCUGAUAACCCCCUGCAGAAAUAGACAAACACCAAAACUCGUUGAAUUCUGUCAGAUAAAACCCUAAGUCUAGGUGUUGGUUGCAUUUGGAUCCUUUUCUUUAUUUAUUUGAUGAUUAUAUUUGAUACUUAAGGACCGUCAACAAACUCCCCCAAGCUUACCUCUUGCUCGUCCCUGAGCAAGGAUGAACUCAAGAGUUUCUGCAGUGGUUUCAUUUCUUAAAAGUACACACGCAUUCAAGCAAGAUCUCAUCUCUGAGUUAGAAUAAACUGUUAAGACUUAAAACUUACUCAUUUUACCUUUUACCAUGGGGCUUGUAACCGUCACUUGUGUCUUGAGCAGUUAAAAGAUAGAACGGUCAAGUCAAGCGCCAUGUCUCUUAUUCUUGAUCAGCUAUAGCUCUAGGGUUUUUUGCAGAUUUUCAAAUAAAACUCAGAGAUUUCUUAUAUGACUCUCUCAGAUCUCUCUUUUGUGGUAUUUAUGGAUCCUUACCAAGGCAGUAAUGGUAUAUGCCUUCUCUCAAAGUAUGUGGUAUUUUUGGUAUGAGGCAUAGUGAUAUUGCCUUCUCUCUCACCCUACUCUAAUAAAGUUCUGAUAUCUGGAGCUCAUAGGUGGGAGACAGCUAAUACAUACUUACAAGACAUUUAUUGCAUAGUCAAACCAUGGAUCCAGAGAAACAAAUCAAUAAGUCAAAUCAAGAUGUGCAUGUGUGGCGAAUGAAUGGUGUAUGGUGAUGAUGGUGAUAAUGAUGGUGAAAGUCUAAUUCUAUUUUUAUGCUCUUUUGAGGGGAUACAUACCUUUCUUGUACUUUGAAGCUUUUUGGGGAGAAUGAGAUGCUCUAUAUUUUCUUUUUCUUUUCUCUCAGGUGGAUAUCUUGUACCCCUAAUUCUACUGUCGGACACUUGUCCAUUUUUACCUCUCGUCUCACUUUUUAUUUUCUUCGAGGUUCCGGGCACUUGCCCCUUUUUAUUUCCUCGUAUUAUUAUUAUUAUUUUUUUCUUUUCUCUUUCUCUUUUUUAGAGCACUCAUCUCCUAAAAGAAUGUAGCAAGUGGUAGUAACCAAAAUAACUAGAGCAUUUAUUUCACAGGGAAUAACAGGGAUAGGAAAAUUUUUUUUCCUAUUCUCUCCCGGAUUAGGAGUAGAAUAAUUUCGGGUGAAUGUGGAGAUGGAAAUGAGUGGAUGUAUGUGGAUGCGUACUUCCGGAGUAGAAGUAGCAUGUAUGAGUGAACGUGCAAGUGAAUCUUGAUUUUAACCACAUGACAAGCUCCUAAGGGUCUACACAGCUUGACCACACUCAAUGCUCAUAAGCAGUAAAAAGUAAAUAUGUGGCUCAAAGUCUAGCAAGCAUGUAUAUAUGGCUGUGGUAGGAUUUUAAACUCUCAUCAUACAGGAACUCAUCAUGUGUUAUUUUAAAGAUUUUUUCAAAGAUAAAAUUCUCCAGAAUUCUAGCAUCUCUAGGAACAGAUAAACAGCAGCUCAACCUUCCCAUAUCAUAUCCGUUAACGACUUAGACUUUAGAUCAAGUACUCUUCCCACAAGUUUAGGUUUAGAGCAAGCUUUAAAUUAUAACAGUUAUGCCUAAACUUGAGAGAGAUUUCAAUUUUAAGAACUAGUCAUGGCAGAGCAACUAUUCAUCAUUUCCAUGAGAGAGCUUAUCAUGAGGGUUCAUAGCAAACUUUAUUUAGUUAUUUAUUUAGCAAAAUAAAUAUAUAUAUAUAAAAGCACAAAAAUUUUAUUUGGGUUUUCAUGAUUAUGCAUCUUUUAUUAUUUGAGUAAAGUAUAAACGCGAGUAGAAACACUUAGCUGGAUAAAUGGGGGUGCUCUCCCCCAAGCUGGAUUUUGACGUAAUUUCUUCUGAUGUAGCUAGCAGGUAGUGGAGGUGUAUUUGAAAGUCGGCAGCACCCUAACAGCGAUUAGGAUGUCCUCCGUCUACUAGUCUUCUUUGAUCCUUGAAUUCUGUGGAGCUCAAAUAGACAACAAAGCUUUGUGAAACUGGUUAAGUGUUAGCAUAAAUAUCUAGCCUUUAUCAUGUUGAGACUCCUUAAUAAAUAUUACUCCCUAUUUUUAUAUUUUUGUUUUUAUAAAGCAGAAAAAUAUUUAUUUUAUUUUUAUGCCACCACAGUGAAUGUACUUAUAGGUUUUAUGCCACUCGUCUACUCACAUGGGGCUUACAGUUUUUCACAUUUUUAUUUUCUUUCUAGGAUAAUAUGAACAUGAUUAACUAAGCAAACUAUAAUUGAAUAAUUGAAAGGAAAAGGAUAACUACCAAGUUUACCUCUUGGCAAGGCGUUCGGUGUUUUUAAGUCCUCCGAACGGGACUCUCCGUUUUCUCAGUCGUCCUGGGAUUCGCUAGGUGGCGUAGUCGGUGAUUCCGGCGGCGCCUCCUCUUCGUGUAUAACUAUCUUCUCUCUUCACACCUGACUCGGUGCUACGGUCUCCUCAGGAUAGUUGUAUUCAAGCUGUAUGUCUUCAGUCCUUAUCACUUCUCCUUCGUAGUCUACCCAUCCGUCCUUGAUGAUUUGCCUCCUCUGGUUGCGGUUGCGUUGUCUUCUUCUUGUCCUGACCUGCUUAGAAUCUUCAACUAUAUAGUUAGAAUCAUUAAAGUAGUGGCGUACCUUCUCAGAGGGGAAGUGCAUGUGGACUUCUCUGGUUCCAAUAUAGAUAAUGGCUUUGAUAGUGCUGAGGAACGGUCUUCCAAGGAUGGUGGAUGGAUCAUACUCGUCUUCUCCCAUGUCAAUGACCUGAAAAUUGUCUGAAGCUGAAUGUAUCUUGGUUGUAGGGGCAUGGUUCCAUGUAGGAGCUGAUAAGUGCCUGCAGCCAUUAUGUUGUCGUCAGAUCCGGUGUUGUAGAGUGUCUUCUGAAAAGAGUAUCCGUUGAUUGUGCACUCGAUGCUUGGAACACCAGGGUCGUUCUUCUUGAUCAAGAAAGGUGACUUGAGUCGACGAUCUUGACCUUUUUGAACUGCAGUGACCAUCUUAGCUGACUCGGUCCAUAUUUGCUUGUUCCUGUUCCUCCUGUUGGUCCUCUUCCUUGGUUCAUAUCGGGAUUGCUCUGAAGCUUGUGUAGUCUUGUUCUUGAAGGAAAGUCUCCUUCUUCCCCUUGAUGUAGAAACUGAUCUUGGCAGCAUUAACGUAGAUGACCACUCUGGUGUUUAGGAAUGGCCUCCCUAAGAUGAUGGGUGCCCUCUCCUCACUACCAGUCUCUAUCACCAUGAAGUUUGCUGGAGCGUACAAGGUACCAACUCGGACACAGAGGUUCUUCAAUAUUUCCUUUGGGAAACUAAGUGUCUGAUCUCCAUUGUGUUUGUGCUCGUAGAUCCCGGUUCUUCACUUGGUGGAAUCUGGGAGUUGUAAAACUCCUCCAUGUUUUGUUUGAAGUGUACCUAUUCAUAGAGACAAGGCAGAGAUCAAGUGCAUGGGCCCUGUUGGUGGAAAACACCAACAGAACCAAAAGUGUAUUUGUUCUUCUCUAACCUUAAGCAUAGUGAGCAAGACAAAGUUGAUGGAUCAUGAGUGUAGCAUUUGUCAGAUCAGAUGGCUCAACCUAAUAGAAAGAUAAUCUAUCUAUAUUUAUGUUUUGUUUAUAUCUUCCAAAGAUUGCAUGUGCAAUACUUUAGCUUAUAUGAUUAGGAGUGUGGGGUCACGAAGGUAGUACUAAGAACAAAGAUUAAAGGACUAAACAUGUUGAAUUAAUUGAGUUGGUUAAUUUGGAGUUAUAAAUCAUACAUGUUUGUCUCUUUAUUUAUGUGAAUGCCAGAACCAAGGAGGAGCUUAUAAAAGUGUUAGUCAAGUACCUUAAGAUGUUACCUUACUUGAAGAGUGAUGGUACAGUAUCACCUUGUGGAAGCUUUCCUUUCUUAGCGGUUGUGCAUCGUGUUUGUGGCACCCAACAUGAAUCAUCUCUUAUGAGCUACGUCUUUCUUGUGCAAAUUGUUAAACUUCAUGUGUCACUUUCUUCAUCUCCAAUGAGUUUGCAUCUCAGGACUUCCCAGGUUGAUAUUGAAAGUUUUCCUACUGGGGUUAGUCCAACAAAAUAUACCAAUAUCUACUCAAGCAGUUUUUAGUUCAGUAACCAAACUAGACUCCAUGUCUAAUCAGAUUAAGGAAGGCUAUUUAACCUAAGCACCACGCUUAAUUUAAAUGCCAUUGGAAGUGUGUCCAGUACUUCCAAACUAACACUUACUAGGAUAAACAAAGGUAGCAUGAUGGCUUUUAUAGAGAUCUACUCAAGUGGAGAUGAAGUAGUGUGAUUAGUAUUUAACAAAUUGAGCAUGUCUCAAAGGUAAGGACAACCAACAUAGCAACAUGGCAAAGGAUGUUUUAUGUAAAGUACUCCCCCAAGCUUGAAUUUUGCAAAAUUUAAGAUUGGAUGAAUUUAAUUUAAUGUUGCAUGAUGAUUGGUUGGGCAUACCUUGCGCUCGUCAUUCAUCCGAUCUUCUUGCUCCAAUCCUAGAAAGGUUAGUGGCAAGAAUACCCGAAGGAAUAUUUCUACAAUUAUCUUUAUAUGCUCAAUACACAAGGCAAUGUUGCAAAUAAUUAGAAGUGCUUGUUUUAGGACAUUGUUGACGGUUCUUAAGUAUCAAUUUUAAUUAUCAAAUAAACAAGAGAAAGGACCAAUAUGCAACCAUCACCUAGAAUUAGGGUUUGAUCUGACAGAAUUCCACGAGUUUUGUUGUUUAUCUAUUUCUGCAGGGGGUUAUCAGGAAAUAAGGAAGAAAGGCCCACAUGUCGGGAUUACAUAGAGAUAUCAACGCACCGCGCAAUUUUACAUCAUCUAGAAGACUCCAGAAGCCACGAGACCGAAGCGGAGGCGAAGCUGGGCCAGGCUCAGGGCGCCCGCCCUGGAAGCCUGGGCGCCCGCCCCCCUGCUGGAGCCAAUUCAGGACUCCUUCGCUCGGGAUAUUCCACCGACCUAUUGGAUCAAGAAAAACAUAGUACCACCUCGGCUAUCGACCCAAAAACGCAUAGAAGGGGAGGACUAUAUAAGCGAGGCCCCCCUGGCCCCUGGAAGACAUGAAGAAAUUAUCAUAGAGACUGAGGGGUGCCCUCGAAGGAAAACCUCUUCUCUAAUUAAUAUUUCUUUUUAGGCUUAGAAAUCAAUGUAAGGUAGAAAUAGAUCUUCUAGUUUCUACUAGAUUGAGAGAGAUAGAGUGGAGGUGUAGAGUGGAGGAAGCCCGGCC
rnacentral:lncRNA from 1 species